ACUCCGGCCGCGGCGCGCGACCACUCCGCACCGCGCCGCUCGCUCGCCGAUACUCGCGACACGUCACGACUCGCGACAACCAAACGACCGCGAAGUGACAAAAACUAGUGCUACUCUCAGUGCCCGUUUCUGUGAAGUGACGAAUGUAACAAACACCUGUUCAAAUACGAUCUGUUUGAUCUGCACGAUGGAUCGGAUCGACGCGCCGUGAGGAAUUCGUUUCACGUGACGAAAACAAAUAUAAGACGGGAAAAACAAAAGGAUAUCAGAUCGUCGCUUGCUCAGGUGCAGGUGACGGGACUCGUCUGUGACAAGUCGUCCACUGUCCUGAAGAAUAUCGGUUCCACGGCCAGAUGAGUCCGGGCGAGACGCGCGGGAGGCGCUAGAGAUGCGCUCUAAGCAGCAGCCGCGACCGUCCUACCGCUGGUUCAACACUAACGAAAACGGUAAGCCUACCAGACCA
rnacentral:misc_RNA from 1 species